rnacentral:rRNA from 1 species
AUCCAAGGAAGGCAGCAGGCGCGCAAAUUACCCAAUCCCGAUACGGGGAGGUAGUGACAAUAAAUACUGAUACGGGGCUCUUUUGGGUCUCGUAAUUGGAAUGAGAACAAUUUAAAUCCCUUAACGAGGAACAAUUGGAGGGCAAGUCUGGUGCCAGCAGCCGCGGUAAUUCCAGCUCCAAUAGCGUAUAUUAAAGUUGUUGCAGUUAAAAAGCUCGUAGUUGAACCUUGGGUCUGGCUGGCCGGUCCGCCUCACCGCGAGUACUGGUCCGGCUGGACCUUUCCUUCUGGGGAACCUCAUGGCCUUCACUGGCUGUGGGGGGAACCAGGACUUUUACUGUGAAAAGAUUAGAGUGUUCAAAGCAGGCCUUUGCUCGAAUACAUUAGCAUGGAAUAAUAGAAUAGGACGUGCGGUUCUAUUUUGUUGGUUUCUAGGACCGCCGUAAUGAUUAAUAGGGAUAGUCGGGGGCGUCAGUAUUCAGCUGUCAGAGGUGAAAUUCUUGGAUUUGCUGAAGACUAACUACUGCGAAAGCAUUCGCCAAGGAUGUUUUCAUUAAUCAGGGAACGAAAGUUAGGGGAUCGAAGACGAUCAGAUACCGUCGUAGUCUUAACCAUAAACUAUGCCGAC